UUUAAUUAUCAUAUAUAAAAGUGAAAUAUAAAAUAUAAUUUAAUUUUAGUUGGGGCAACUGGGAGGGAUAAAAAUCUUUUAUUAAAUCAUUUAUAAUAAUAUUUAUAUUUAUGAUCCAAAUUAGUUAAUUUUGAACUUAGAAU
rnacentral:rRNA from 1 species